rnacentral:rRNA from 1 species
AGCGAACGCUGGCGGCAGGCCUAACACAUGCAAGUCGAACGGACCCUUCGGGGUUAGUGGCGGACGGGUGAGUAACACGUGGGAACGUGCCUUUAGGUUCGGAAUAGCUCCUGGAAACGGGUGGUAAUGCCGAAUGUGCCCUUCGGGGGAAAGAUUUAUCGCCUUUAGAGCGGCCCGCGUCUGAUUAGCUAGUUGGUGAGGUAACGGCUCACCAAGGCGACGAUCAGUAGCUGGUCUGAGAGGAUGACCAGCCACACUGGGACUGAGACACGGCCCAGACUCCUACGGGAGGCAGCAGUGGGGAAUCUUGCGCAAUGGGCGAAAGCCUGACGCAGCCAUGCCGCGUGAAUGAUGAAGGUCUUAGGAUUGUAAAAUUCUUUCACCGGGGACGAUAAUGACGGUACCCGGAGAAGAAGCCCCGGCUAACUUCGUGCCAGCCGCCGCCGUAACAC